rnacentral:tRNA from 1 species
GAGAGUAUAGCUCCAAUGGUAGAGUGUAUGCCUAGCAUAUACGAGGUCCUGGGUUCAAGCCCCAGUACCUCCA